GACAGAGGAUGCAAGCGUUAUCCGGAAUGAUUGGGCGUAAAGCGUCUGUAGGUGGCUUUUUAAGUCCGCCGUCAAAUCCCAGGGCUCAACCCUGGACAGGCGGUGGAAACUACCAAGCUGGAGUACGGUAGGGGCAGAGGGAAUUUCCGGUGGAGCGGUGAAAUGCGUAGAGAUCCGGAAGAACACCGGUGGCGAAGGCGGUCUGCUGGGGUCGAACUGACGCUGAGGCGCGACAGCGUGGGGAGCAAACAGG
rnacentral:rRNA from 1 species